CACUGUGAGGUGGAAUCUGAAGGAAGUCUAAAGCAAAGUACUGCACCGAUGAACAAGAAGUAGCUACAAGGCUGAGAGUAACGGAUAAGACUGCUCAACAAGUUGAAAUCCAAUACUACUCGAAGUUACUCUCAGUAAAGCUAACGGUGAUAUGGUACGAAAGUUAAU
rnacentral:ncRNA from 1 species